UGUGUCUGGUUGCACAGUGGGUACUGAAUUGAGCCUUCACCACUCUGACAGAAUGCUUGCAUCUCACAUCACUGCAUAACCAUCACACGACCUCAAAUCAGACUGCACUUGUGGAAGAGGCGUGCAGAAGUAUUGUUUUCCUUUGUGGUGAUACUGAAAUACCUCACGAGAGGAAACCUCCUGUGCAGUGCCAGGGGAUGGAACAUGCACCAUCUCUGAAAAUCACAACAUCUUUUUUUAUAUACUGGUUUUAAACACUGUUGGAUAUUUAUUCACAUGGCAGAAGCAGGGCUGCCCUGCAAGUGUAUACUCAAAAUAUUUCCUUUGUCAGAUUCUAGCUGCACUGGUGACAGUCUCCAGUAUUAGCUCUUUUGUUAAAUGUUUUUUUUUCCAUUGCAGUCUGGACUUCCCCUUCUCUGUUCCCCCCCCCCCAGGUUGAAGUAUAGUUACCCCUGUUCAUUAACUCAAAGCCCCAGUUUCUAUUCUAAGGGAACCUCAUUUUGUAGUUUGGUUAAAUUCUCUCCAUGGUUGAGGAACAGGUGAACCGUAACCCAUAUUCUUCCUUACCUGUUGUGAAUGUUGUGUGAGUGAGUGGGGCUGAUGUCUUGAAAUGAUGCAUAUAUUAAAGUGUUAGUCUACUUUUCUUAGCUGAGAUGGUGCAGAUGGCACUGUGUGCUGAGAUCCUCUUCAUAGCUGUCUUUUUAAGUACCCGUAAUAGAAACUUGCAAAGAACCCACCUCCCAACCCAGAACCCCAAUGUCAAGGCUUCUUGAGGUGCCUCUGUUUUACAGGGAUAAAAUUGUGCCCAAAAGGACCCGAUUCCUGUCCCUGAGGAUGGCUGAUUUGUGCCUCUUGGAAGACCAAUCUGUUUUAAAAUCAGGCAUAAAAAUUGAUGGUACCUAUUCACUCAUCACUUGUGGAAGCCUUUGUUGCAGUGUUGAAGCUUAGCAAAGAUUGAAUGCCAGAGAUGUGAUACUGUAAGAAAUACCCAAUCAUAAAGCUACCAGUGUAAGCUCAGAGAUCUUUCGUAAGCUAAAUUACAUCCCUGCAAAUCACAUAACACUGCAUUUUCUUAUAUGCCUCAUAUGCUGGAUGUUCUGUUAAGCAAACUGGCUUCCAAUGCGCAUGAGGGGGAAACACUACAUCACCGCUGCUGUAAACAACAAGUGAGUGGGAUUUCUUUUCAACACCAAACAAUGUGAAUCAGCGCUGUGAAAACCAGGUUGGUGAGAGGUUCUCACAAGACAAAUACCAAUUCUCAAACAUGGAAGGAAAUGUAAAAAAGAAAAAAAACUAUCUCUUUCCAGAUGGUGGAUAUGCUUUUUUAUUUUUCUUUCCUAUCUUUGUACCAAAAAGUACAUAUGAGUUUUUCAUUCACUGAUGUGCAACCUACUUCUGAAUGCUGGCUUUUAAUAACUUUUUUACAAUUUUUUAAUGCUUUAUUUAAAAUCCAUUUAUUCAGUGAAACAAUAAAAAUGUGGUUAAAC